CCCAAAGUAUAAUUAUAUGUACAAUUGCCUUCCAAGCAAUAAGAUUAAAUAAAUUUAAAGUAGGU
rnacentral:tRNA from 1 species